ACAACACAAACAACCAAUGCUUAUUCCUUCGUUAUAUGAACAAAGGAACUUACGAAGAUUAGCAUAAAGAAAAUGACACUUUUAGUGUUAUUAGUUCUUCACUUACAAAUCGUUGUAUGAAGAAAUAAUGAGUUGCUUUGAACAACCCUUAGUCAAUGCAAACACUUAGUGCUUGUUUCUUUGUUAUAUGAACAAAGAACUUGAGAAGAAAGCACAAAGGCAUGGACACUUUACGUGUCAUGAUUCUUCACUUACAAAUUGUUGUAGGAAGAAAUGAGAGUUGCCUUGUACAACUCUUGAAAGUUUGUAAUUAUGUUUAGAACAUAAUGGUUGGUUGACAAAAAUAGUCCAUCAACAUGGACUUAUGAUGAUUUUGAAUCAUUGAGUGUUGAAGUGUUAAAACACUUCUAGAGACGGGAACUAGGCAAGGACUUCACCUUUGUGUCCCUAUCCUAAUCGUUCACUAAGUUUAUUGUAAACUAUAUAGUGAACAAUAACCACAUGCUCUCCAAAAUGUUUAAUGUGUAUAACACAAUUGAAAUAAGUUUCAAGAGAGAUAGUGGGAGUUUAGGGACCAUGACUAUUGUAGUCAAAGGAGAAGUCAAAUGAAGAAGAUUAAAAUUAACUCCUAGGGAACAAACUUUCUUUAUGAAAGGAUGGACAUUGGAAGGGGUAUUUGCAAGAAAUGUCUUGCAAGUGUCAAGAACACACCUUUCGAAGAUGUUGUAAAUUGUUCUUGAAUAGUUCAAAACAGUUGGUUCUUCUACUUGAAUGCUUGAUUCCGUAUUAGUAACUAUGUUUUACAAUCGUUGUAAAAGUGUGACUAAUAAGAAGUAGAAGAUUAAUGAGAGAAGAGAAAGUACUUCACAUUCGAAACGUGAAUCAAAUGUAGAUCUCUGCGAAAGCAGAUGGUACUUACUUCCUCAUAUGAACUACCAAAGAAAUUGGAAAAACAUAGAUUGUCUUUAUAUUCCAAAAUUUUAAGGAACUAAAUUCCGUCACUAUGUGAAAUGGAUAAAUGUUUUGUUUGACAAAACAAUGUUCUUUAUUAAUCAAUGAUUGGAUUAUGGUAAUCUAAUUAAUUAUCUCUAUAGUAGAGAUAAUAUGGUAGUGUUAACUGUUCAGAAAAUAAUGAUGCUUAAAACCCAAAAGGUUGCAAGGUAGUGACUAAUCCCAACUAAAGUUGUGAUACCUCUAAAACAUAAAUUACGAGUUGGUCAUAGAUGGACGCUUUGGAUCGUUAGAUCCGGAUCCAAUACCUUCUUGUUAACAUUGUAUAGAGGCGAAAUGUUCGAAUCUUUAUUCUUUUGGAAAGAAGAAAGAAUCACAAAGUUGUUGAGGUUAAUUCACUUAGAUGUUAGUGGCACUUGUCCACAAACAUAAUACUACUCAUGUUAUAUGACAUUCACCGAAGAUCACUCUCGGUUGGACUAUAAUUUAUUUUGAAUAAACACAAGUCCGAAUACUUUGCAAAAUGUUUCAAAGAAUUCAAGUAAUGUAAGUUGA
rnacentral:lncRNA from 1 species